GACGAACGCUGGCGGCGUGCUUAACACAUGCAAGUCGAACGGACAGGCCCUGCUUUUGUGGGGUGCUCGAUUGGCGAACGGGUGUGUAACACGUGAGUAACCUGCCCUUGACUUUGGGAUAACUUCAGGAAACUGGGGCUAUUACCGGAUAUGAGCUCCUGCUGCAUGGUGUGGGUUGGAGAGUGUCGGCGGUGGGGGCUGGACUCGCGGCUUAUGAGCUUGUUGGUGUGGUAGUGGCAUACCAAGGGUUUGACGGGUAGCCCGCCUGGGAGGGUGACCGGGGACAAGGGGACUAAGAGACGGACCAGACUGCUACGGGCGGCAGCAGUGGGGAAUAUUGCGGAAUGGGCGGACGUCUGAUACAACAACGCCGCGUGCGGAAUGACCGCUUUCGAGUUGUAAACCGAUUUCGCCUGUGACGAAGCGUGAGUGACGGUAAUGGGUAAAGAAGCACCGGCUAACUACGUG
rnacentral:rRNA from 1 species